GACGAACGCUGGCGGCGUGCUUAACACAUGCAAGUCGAACGGAAAGGCCCUGCUUUUGUGGGGUGCUCGAGUGGCGAACGGGUGAGUAACACGUGAGUAACCUGCCCUUGACUUUGGGAUAACUUCAGGAAACUGGGGCUAAUACCGGAUAGGAGCUCCUGCUGCAUGGUGGGGGUUGGAAAGUUUCGGCGGUUGGGGAUGGACUCGCGGCUUAUCAGCUUGUUGGUGGGGUAGUGGCUUACCAAGGCUUUGACGGGUAGCCGGCCUGAGAGGGUGACCGGCCACAUGGGGACUGAGAGACGGCCCAGACUCCUACGUGAGGCAGCAGUGGGGAAUAUUGCACAAUGGGCGGAAGCCUGAUGCAGCAACGCCGCGUGCGGGAUGACGGCCUUCGGGUUGUAAACCGCUUUCGCCUGUGACGAAGCGUGAGUGACGGUAAUGGGUAAAGAAGCACCGGCUAACUACGUG
rnacentral:rRNA from 1 species